GACAGUUUAAUAAGUGUUAAAUGCUACAUUAAACUUCCAAAUCACGCGUACACACACACACACCCACGAUUUUGUUUACAGUAGAAACAAUUUCAGCGUGAAUCACACACACACAGUGAAUCACUGAAAUCCCACUCAGUAUCACUUACGCAAGUGCAGACAGGUGCUUAAUACACUCACACUUGUCGUGACGUGGCGUAAAAAAAAUUUUCACUCCACACCCGCGCGCAGGCAGACGGUGAUUUUUUUUAUUUUGUUGCAUCACACACAUACAAAAUUUUUUGAUUUCUCUGUUUCUCUUAUUCUUAAGGACAUGCGUUACACCGUGACAAUUUUCUUUAUGGAUAACUCAGGGAAAGUGUGGCUAAUACACACGAGAAAUUUUUUUUACCACACACACGAGACACACACACAAUGCGAAAUUUUUUGUUUUGCCGUGUAUCGACAACUAUACAUUUUACUACUCACCACUCAGUGGGAAACUUUGACCGCGCUCGCGCACUCAGUUUAAAGUUUAACUGCGACAUGAGAGACAUUGAGCACGCACGUGUCUUUCCUUCGGGAGCCUCACAUCACGCUGAGAACACUUUGCGAAAUUUAUUUUGCGAAACAUGUCAUACAAGCAUCUACAGCAUCAAGUCACAGGGGUGGCGAGUGUAUUUUUGAACCUUCACAGCACUCACGCACACAGAAGAGUAUUUUCUGAUCCCAUAGAAAGAGCACCGUACAAUGAGAGACCGCUCUUAUAUCUAAAGAGCGCAGCACGCGCGUAAAUUGCCCAACGCGAGCACCCCACACUCAAAUUGUAUUUACACGCGUUAACAAUUUACAACAUUACAACAAGUUUUUUUUACACAUAUAACACUAUAUUUUUCCUGUCACCUGACAGAAUUAUAUCAUCCUUGUUCGUUGUUUAUUCAGCAUAAUAGUAUUAAUUUAUUAUUUUACUGAGGCAGUGACAAGCUGUAACGGUUGAGUAUAAAAAUGACGAGUGUCUGGCAUUGCCGCUCUUUCGGGAGCUUGGCAAGUUGCCGACGCUUUGUGUGCUCAAUUGGAAUGCGGUGAGUUUAAGCAACUCAGAACCUUUGGACGGUGUUAGUCAAAUUACACUNNNNNNNNNNNNNNNNNNNNNNNNNNNNNNNNNNNNNNNNNNNNNNNNNNNNNNNNNNNNNNNNNNNNNNNNNNNNNNNNNNNUUGUUGCGGUUAAGAGGCUCGUAUUUGGAUUGAACUGCCCGCUUGCAGUGAAUUCUCAUUCAGUUUGACAAGUUUUACGCUCAAUCAUUAAUUACCAAAUUUUUGAUUUUGUGUUCGACGCUGUUAAAUUUUUACUAUUACACUGUAUUAAUUUUUUACACGGCACAAUUUUUUCUUGCGCAUAUAUAUUUCUCGCAUACACACACACACCCACGCGCGUAUAUAUAUAUGCAUCACGCGGAAAUUAUUGUACUCUCAAACACUCGCAUAGAAUUUAUUCUCCUUUCUACACUGUGAACAAAUCAGAGAGUAUCAAACAUGUCGUUUUUGAAUGUGCAUUGAAUGUCUUAUCAUGGGAUGUUGCACUUUCGCCAAGAAGAAGUUUUUUGCCACCUGCCGCAAAAAAUUUUUUUUAAACCCCACGCACACACACACACACACGCGGGUGCGCACAUGUUAGCGCACGUAAAAUUUUAUCGCACGGUAAAUUUAUUUUUAACGGGUAAAAAUGUCGAUGGGGAUAGUUGGAGUCAACAGUACUGCUGGGCGAGAGGUGAAAUCAUGACCCUAGCAAGACUACCAAAAGCGAAAGCAGUUGGCUAGGCUAUACUCUUUGUGAUCAUAUAUGUAUAUACUCACGCGUAUCGCUAAAUUCUGUCACACGCACUCACACACUCACACACACGCGCGCAGAAAGUUUAUAGCGCUUUACGCGUAUAUAUGUAUAUUACACUUUACAAUGAAGAACGAAGGUUGGGGGAUCAAAGAGGAUCAGAUACCCUCGUCGUCCCAUUAAUUACAUCAAACGAUGGGUUCUCAAUUGCAUUUUUCAUUAAAUUGCAAAUUUCCUCAGCCUACAAAAUAACCUGGCUUGAGCUCGUAUUUUUUAUACGCUCGCCUAAUUUUUUUCGUAUGGUCUCGAUGGACGUUUCAUUUAAAAUUUUUUUGCGUGUAAGCAUUUGUUAUUCUUUGAAACAUAAGAAUGCAUUGCGUGCACUUGAUUUUCGGAGCUUUGCGCUCAAUUCUGGUGAGAUGUAAGCACUGUGUCAUACUGCCCGCAGCGUAUAGCUUCGGCUAUUUCGUCUGUCGUGUGCAGUUGACAAUCUUGGUGUGAAGCACGCUUUAGGCACGCGCUUACUGCAGAAAUGUCUGAGACAUUUUCCUCCGGGGGAAGUAUGCACGCAAGUGUGAAACUUGAAGGAAUUGACGGAAGGGCACCACAAGAACGCGUGGAGCAUGUGGCUUAAUUUGACUCAACGCGGGAAAUCUUACCGGGUCCGGACACACUGAGGAUUGACAGGCAAUAUUAAUACAUCAGCUCUUUUUUAUUAAAGUCUGUGUAUUAUGUUAAAUAUGCUAGUCCUUUCAUGAUUAUGUGAUAGGUGGUGCAUGGCCGUUCUUAGUUCGUGGAGUGAUCUGUCUGCUUAAUUGCGUUUCACUAAGGGCCUAUAAAUUUACGUGUGUUGCGGCACUUUGACCCCUCUCUGAGCGCGCGUCUUAGUUUGCUUUGCUCGCACAAUUAGGUCCUGAAAGCAACGAACGUGACCGCAACCUCUUGUUGCCUUUAUUCCAAACAUGUUUGCCAUUUUAAAUGGUAUUCAUGAAAAAAGGCUUUUUAAACUAGAGGGACCGCUGUUACUUUCUUAAACCAGAGGAAGGUUGCGGCAAUAACAGGUCUGUGAUGCCCUUAGAUGUUCCGGGCUGCACACGUGCUACAAUGAUUAUUGCAGUGAGCAUCUCAUUUUUACACACCGCAUGCGCGAGUCCAUUUAUUCACCUCUCUGAGGCGCUUUAAAUGUGUACCUCUGCGCGCGGUAAAGCCUGCUUCGAGAGUAAGUGGGUAAUCAAUUAGAAGUAAUGAUUUCCUUUUUAGCACACAUAUAUACGGCGUCUAUGCCCGGGCUGCCUUGUUGUAGCUUUUGUGCGUAUAGAUGUUUUUUUCCGUAUGUGCGAUUGUCAAUUCAUGGUGGGGACAGACCAUUGUUAAUUGUUGGUCUCGGUCUUAACUAGGAAUGCCUUGUACGGGUCUUUGGUUCAACAAACCACCCGGAAUACGUCCCUGCCCUUUGUACACACCGCCCGUCGCUCUUACCGAAUGGACUUCUCUGUGAGUUGAGGGACUGGGAACGCAUAUUUUAUCUGCACACCUAUAGAAACUUAAACGAACAGUGUGUCCUAAAGGAAAGAGAAGUCG
rnacentral:rRNA from 1 species